GAUUUAGAUUGGAAAUAGCCCUUGAACUAGGGGCAAAAUGUUGGAUGUGAUCAAAGAGUUAAAACUGAAUCGUUUCCCAAUGAAGACCACCCAUAAAGGCAAAACCCAGAAUUUGAGAGAAUGAAUUUUAUUAUUGAAGGACAGUCGAGUUCCUAUCCAUUACACUAGGGGCAAAUUCAGACCCAAUUAGCCUAGUCCCUACAUCAUCAUAUCUACUGGCCAAGUGUAGCAGUCAUUGGCCUAGAGAUUUCACACCCAAUCAACAUGGACAAGCUAAAAUAAAAGUAUCAUCCUUGAGAGGCUCGUUGGGUUGAAAACCUGGAAGGGCAACCCAGGCAAAAUUUAGAGCAGAAAAAAAAAAUCAAAAAAA